UACGGAGGGUGCGAGCGUUGUCCGGAAUCAUUGGGCGUAAAGGGCUCGUAGGCGGCCAACUAAGUCAUACGUGAAAUCCCUCAGCUUAACUGGGGAACUGCGUCUGAUACUGGAUGGCUUGGAUUCGGGAGAGGAAUGCGGAAUUCCAGGUGUAGCGGUGAAAUGCGUAGAUAUCUGGAGGAACACCGGUGGCGAAGGCGGCAUUCUGGACCGACAUUGACGCUGAGGAGCGAAAGCCAGGGGAGCAAACGGG
rnacentral:rRNA from 1 species